CCGAACACGGAAGUUAAGCUCUCUAGCGCCGAUGGUAGUUGGGACCUUGUCCCUGUGAGAGUAGGACGUCGCCAAGCA
rnacentral:rRNA from 3 species